ACGAACGCUGGCGGCUGCUUAACACAUGCAAGUCGAACGGAGUGGCGAACGGGUGAGUAACGCGUGAGCAACCUGCCUAUGACCGUGGGAUAGCCUCGGGAAACCGGGAUUAAUACCGCAUAGUCAUAGAUGGGCUCGCGUCUGAUUAGCUAGUUGGUGAGAUAACAGCCCACCAAGGCGACGAUCAGUAGCCGGUCGUAGAGGAUGAACGGGCACAUUGGAACGGAGACACGGUCCAAACUCCUACGGGAGGCAGCAGUGGGGAAUAUUGCAAAAUGGGGGAAACCCUGAUGCAGCGACGCCUCGUGAACGAAGAAGGUAGUCGUAUAGUAAAGUUCGGUCCUAUGGGAAGCAGUACCAUAGAAGAAAGCGCCGGCUAAAUACGUGCCAGCAGCCGCGGUAAUAC
rnacentral:rRNA from 1 species